rnacentral:lncRNA from 1 species
GGUUUUAGGUUCUUGUUUGUAUGGGAAAAACCAAGCUAGAUGGGAAUCUGUAAUUGACAGAUUGAGAAAAUUUCCAAACAGUGAAAUUCAGAAAAAACUUAGAAUAAGUUUUGACACACUGGAUGAAUCUACACUAAAGAAUACAUUUCUUGAUAUUGCAUGCUUCUUUAUUGGUAGAAAGAAAGAAUACGUAGCAAAAGUGCUAGAAGGACGUUAUGGUUACAAUCCAGAAGAUGAUUUCGGAACUCUCAUUGAACGGUCUCUGAUUAAAGUUGAUGAUUCUGGAACGAUAGACAUGCAUGAUCUAUUACGAGGGAUGGGAAGGGAGAUCGUUAAGGAAGAGUCACCUGAAAAUCCUGCGCAAAGGAGCAGAAUUUGGAGUCAAGAGGAUGCGUGGAUAGUACUCAAGAUGCAGAUGGUAAGCACUCAAUGCAUACAGAAAAGCACAUUCAUUUGUAUCUUUAUUGUCGAACUUAUUACAAACAAUCAUAUGAAAGUUCUAUGGAUUUUGUUUUCUUUUUUAGGGAACAGAAGUUGUAAAGGGCCUUACACUGGAUGUGAGAAGAUCAGAAGACAAAUCACUAAGCACUGGAUCAUUUACAAAAAUGAAAAAUUUAAAAUUACUCCAAAUCGAUGGAGCAGAACUCACCGGAUCUUUCGAACGGCUUUCUAAAGUGUUGACGUGGAUUUGUUGGCUUGAAUGUCCUUUGGAAUUUUUACCAUCCGACUUUUCACUGGACUACGUAGUUGUUAUUGAUAUGCAGUACAGUAACAUCAGAGAAUUAUGGAAGAAAAAAAAGGUGCGAAACAUAUCAAAAUGCCCAAAAAUUUGUCUAGAGAACUUUUGAUGAUUACUUUUCAAUGAUUUUUCUCUCUGCUCUGACAGAUGUUCAACAAUCUAAAAAUUCUUGAUCUCAGUUAUUCAAAGAACCUUGUUAAAACACCAAACUUGUACAGUUCAAGUCUAGAGAAAUUACUGCUUGAAGGUUGCUCAAGUUUAGUUGAGGUACAUCAAUCUAUUGGACAUUCAAAGUCUCUUGUAUGUUUGAACAUUUGGGGGUGUUCACAACUUAAGGAGCUGCCGGAGUGCAUGGGUGAUAUUGAGUCCUUCACUGAGCUUCUAGCAGAUGGAAUUAACAACGAGCAAUUUCUCUCUUCAGUUGGACAUUUAAAGUGUGUGAGGAAGUUGUCAUUGCGCGGACACUGGAAGGGGGACUGGAACUUACCAUAUCGGCCUUCACCAAAUUCUUCUUGGAUUUCAGCUUUUCGGAUAACUCCAACUUCCAUUAUUUGGAGAGUUUUGGGAAAGCUAAAACUUGAUGGUUAUGGUUUGUCUGAACGCGCAACUAAUUGUGUUGAUUUUGGAGGUUUGUCCGCUCUUGAAGAGUUGGAUCUAUCUAGAAACGAGUUCUUCAGUCUGCCUUCUGGCAUCGGCAUCCUUUCUAAGCUGCGGCUUUUGACCGUUCAGGAAUGCGGAAAUCUUGUAUCAAUCCCAGAGCUUCCCUCAAAUUUAGAAAAUUUGGAUACAUUUGGUUGCAAAUCAAUGCAAUGGGUAAGACUACCAAUCCAAGCAAAAAAAUAUCUAAGUCUGUUUCUGAUUGGUUGUCCGGAUUUAAUGGAGAUUGAAGGCAUGGAAGGUCUAAGUAAUCAUGGCUGGUUUAUUUCCUAUAUUACCAAGAACAAGUUAUCAAAUAAUUAUAAGAAAAGUCUUGCUGAGGUACUAUUUCUGUCUUUCUUGCACACAAAUAAGCACACAAUUGGCACGUACAAUAUAUACAUUAAUUAAUGUCUAAUAUAUACAGGCACUGUGCUACGGUGGUUACGCGUAUCAUAUGUUCUUCAAUCGUUGGCAUACAUUCAGCCACAGAGAUAAGUUCACUAUGAUUCCAAAUUGGUUCAGCUACUGAGGAAAAGGAAGUUCAUUAUCAUUUCAUAUACCUCCAGUUUUCCAAGGCUUGGUCGUUGGGGUUGUCUGUAAACGCUUGAUAGGUCUUAUUGGAACCCCCAAAUUGUGUAUAAAAAAUAAAAGCAACGGUAUUCAAUUGUUUGAAGCAACUGUAAUUCAAUGUGUCGGUAGAAAUUGGUUGAGAUACAUAAGUCUAAGCGAGAUGGCAAUGAAAGAAUAUUGUGAAGAUGAGGAAUUGGAACUGUGCGUGGGACUUUAUACGGGAGAAGACGCUGAAGUGUUUGAAUGUGGGAUCCAUGUGAUAGUUGAAAAGACAGAUUCAUUUGAAGGGUCAGAGUGGGAUCAUGAGUCUGAAGGUGGAAGAGAUAGAGUAAUACCUGCACCACCAUAUCUGUCUCAAUAUGCGCGUUACAAUUUCUUUGAGAUUUACGGCAAGCAAGGUCUCAGUAAUUUAUCAAAAAAUACCAAGGAUCGGCUUCUUGAGGUACUAGUUCUGUCUCUCUUGCACACAAAUAAACACACAAUUGGCGCGCGCGCACACAGAUAUAUAUAUUAUUCGGUGUCUAAAAUCUCAGCAUUUCUUGAAUUCAAUAUUUAUGCAGAGAAUCUUCAAUUAUCAUUUUCUCGAGUAUUUUAUUCCCUUCAAGGCUUAUUUCGUUCCCUACGAUUAUUCUAUCAUUCCAAAAUGGUUCAGCUACGGUGCAGAAGGAUGUUCAUUAUCAUUUGAUAUACCUCCAGAUUUCGAAGGCUUGGUCAUUUGGGCUGUCUGUUCAGGUGGUGGGCAUCAAGAAUUCAAGGCUAUUAUAAAAAAUAAAAGCAACAGUCCGAAGUUGAAAGCGAUAGAACGAUACCUUCGCCACCAUAUCAUCUGCUUCACCAUCCCCGUCAUGGUUCAAUGAGAUUUUCUACAAGGCAGCAGUGGAAAGCUUUUUUGAUUCGGGCGUUCAGCCUAUGGAAAACCAUAGUCAUGCAAAAAUUCUUACCUGAUGAUCUCAAUUAGUCGAGGGAUUGGUUUAAGAAAACUCCCCACUUUAUGCCCACUUAGCAAUGAUAUUAUCAUCUUGUUGUGUUAAAUCACUAAUUAAAUAAAUGUAGUAUUUUUUUAAGCUAGCAAAAUUAUUGGACUAAUGGGCUGUGGUUGUUUAAAAAAUCUUAUCCAACAAAAUCUUCAUGGGUGUUAAAUGCCAAUUGUUUCUAAUAUAUUUUUUUCUUGACUAUUUUAAGCAAUUGAGUAAUUAUCUAUAUAUAUUUUAAGAGACUACAGGAAAAGAUCGAGCUGCGAAAAAAUGAAUAUUUAUAUCAACUUGGUUUCCUCAUAAAAGACCAUACACGGAUCUUUUUAUCAACUUACAUAAAAAGUCUAAAUUGCAUAGAGUACUCUAACUAAGAAAUCCAAAAGAAAUAGGAACUUUAAAAUGAAAAGGGUGUCAAAGGAUUAUACCUCAACGACCCUCCUGAGCAUUGGUUAUCCUUCCAUUUCAACAAAAUCAAACUAGUACCAGAUUUGGUGGAAACAAACUAAAUUGAAUAAUUCAUCACUUAAUUUUAGAUAUUUUUAUGUUUUUUUUUUUAAAUAUUGUUAUACUUUCAUAAGUUUUAGAUAUUGUUUGUUAUACACCAUUAACCUCAACAAGAGAAUCAUUAAAGAAUUGUAGACUUUGUAUCAACUAAAACAAAUAAUAAAUCAAACAAUUCAAAGUUGAACCUUCUUUUUAAUUUUAAAGUCUUGUUUGUUGUUAGAUCAUAUCUUAGACAAGUUAUAAGAUUUUCUAUAGAUAAAUCAUAAUGUUGUAAACUUGUUUAAAAGACUAUGAUAUUUUGGUAUAGACACAUGGUGGAUCAGACUUUAGAAUAUUGUUUGUCACUCUUGUCCGUAAAAAUAUCUUUAUGAAAUAAAAAUUUUCAAAGUUUUGUUUCGUAAUAGAUAAUUUUUUAUUUGUUAGGAAGUGUUCAAGCAUGACUAUGUUUUCUUCAUAUAUGUAAUAUUGAUUAAAGAAAGAAUCCAUAGAUAUAAGCACUUGUAGGCUCAUGCAUUAGUGAGUAAACACAAGGAUAUGCAUUGAGGAAGAUAAUAAUUAAAAUUUUGGAAUUAUUGUAAAAUGGAUAGAUUUUACUUGAUUUUAGUUUGGUUUUAUUAUUUUAUUAUUUUAACUCAAUUUUGAAUGAUAAGUUAACUCAUGAUUUUAAUAUUCAUGCAUUUUCCUACACUUUUCAGAGCCCUUGCACUGCCUUGUCAAGAUUCAAAAAAGUCAAAAGAUUUUUUUAACAAAAAGAAAAAAAAAGAAAGCCUCCUGUUACAUUAUCAAACAGAAUAUACUAGUCACUAGCCCAAAAUCCCUUAUAACCUAUGAAUGAAUAAACAUUGAUUGAAAAUAUUUAUUUAUUUACUUGAAAUUAAUAUUUUUUGGUGUUUUUAAAUUAUUUUGAUGUGUUGAUGUCAAAAAUAAGUUUUUAAAAAAUAAAAAAUAUAUUAUUUUAAUGCAUUUCUGAACAAAAACACUUUAAAAAACAAUCACAAUCAUAUUUUAAAGCAUCCCCUUACACAAAUUAGCAUAUCAACGAACAAGAACAAUUUUUUUUUUUUAAAAAAAGGUGAACUUUUUGGUCCAACUAACAUGUUCUUUAAGUGCUAAAAACUACACCAAAAAGAGAAAUCACUUUCAUGUUGUAAAAGAAAGAAACGAAGAGCCCGUAAAACCUGAAGGAAGGAUCAUUGCACGCAAAAAUGAUUGGAAUGAAAUUGGGCUUUCUUCACGGCAGAAGUUUCUUUUUUCCCUCUGCCAAUCCAACCGGUUGAAAAGUACCAAUUUCAAAAACUCAUGCAUGUUUUUGAAAUUAAUGUUAACAUCGGAGGGGUUAAUAUCUAAUUUAUAUCAAAAUAAAUUAGAUAUUAACCCUUCCGAUUUAUAAUUCCAAAUAGAAAAAAUUUAAUGUUAAAACUAUUUUAUUUUAAAAUACCUAUCUUGUUUUUUAUGGAACUUUAAAGAAAUUAGAUGAAGGUGAUGAGGGUAAUAUAAAAUAUAAAAUGAAUUGAAUUCUAUUUAUUUCAAAUAUGUAAAUUUAAUUUAUUUAUAAAUUGAAUUCAAAUUUAAUAUUAUAAUUUAAUUUAAUUACGGUGGAAAAUUGAUUCCACACAAGCAGUUAAGAAAUCAUCUUAAAAAACAUCAUUAUUAUAGGUCCAACUUAAAAUUAAGUUAUAUAACUAAACACAUAUUAUACAAAACAACUCUAAGAAAUUAUGAGUUGUUAUUAAAUAAUCCAAAUUUGCUAGUGGACUGAGUAAGUAAACAUUGUAAAAUUAUACAACUUUACAAUAUUGUAAAAUCAAUAUUGUAAAAUUAAUAGUAAAAUCAUGAUUUUACCUGAUUUUAGACUAGUUUUAUUAUUUUUUGAUUUUAACUCAAUUUUAAACAAUAAAUAUAUAUUUACUCGUAAAAUUAUACAAGUUCACUCAUGAUUUUAAUACCUCCUAUAGAAGCGGCAACACACUCCUAGUGAGACUAGUACCAAAAAUGAUUACCUGACAUUCAACAUAGAAGAUUCUGCUACACAAUCAUUCGGGGUAUAUAAUGGUGGCUACUAUCCUUACAAGGUACACAAACCUAAAAGAGAUUUUUUUUUUCUAAUUUUGAUAGUGAUAAUAUGCAUAAAUGGUUAUAUAAAUAAAAUUAAUAUUUUGAUAUCAAGGAGAUUGUUGAGGUUGGAAAACUUAAGAUAGUCUCCUAUUACUUAGAUGACAUAACUUUGUAUUGACACUAUAAUUUCGUGAAGGGCAAGAAUGAUCAAUGCAUGUCUUAGAAUGAAUAUGUAGAGGCAAUAUGCUCUAGGUUUGGAGGUCAAAAGGAUCUAUUAGAAGAGUUUAAUGACCUCAGACAGAAUAAAGAAUUAGAGGGUUACAAUAAGGACUUUGAUAUACUUUGGAACAUGGCUGAAAUCAAUGAGAAAUAAGCUUUAAUAUUCUUUUUAUGAGGGUUUUUAGGUGGAGAUUAAGAAUUUAGUUAAGAUGUUGGAACCAAAAACUUUAAAUCAAGACUAUAACCUAGCACGUUUGCAAGAUAACAUCAUAGCCUACAGGAGAUCCUACCAUAAUUCCAGCAAACUUGUACCAACAAACACCAGCUGUGUUGCUUAAUCCAAACCCAUCCAAAACCAAAGAUCUUAUAAAAUUCCACAACCAUUAGCUGCCAUUAACCUUAAAUAGCCACAAAAUAGCUUACUACCAAACCCUAACCCAUACCCUCCGUACAAACCUAAUUUGAAGCCCACCAAAUUUGUAAAGAAUAAGAAGUUGGAUGGAAGGAGAGCUAAGGAAUUGUGUUUUUGGUGCGAUGAAAGGUUUGUGUCAAGCCAUAAAUGCAAAAUUAAAAAGUUGUACUAGUUGAUGGUGAUGAGCCUAGCUUUGAAUAAAUAGGUAAUUCCUCACAUUUCUAUCAAUGCACUGGAAGGAGUCAUUUGCUCCUCUGUAUAGUUGAAAGCCUCAUCAAAUCCAAACUUGUUCUUCAACAAGUCAACCUUAAGAUUGAUAAGAGAAAUUAAAAGCAAACACCAUACAGAAUCUGGUUACAGAUGUUUCUUUGCUUUCAUGUCAUCUACUUAAAUAUGUAGCAAUAAAUUGAAAGCUUGCAGGUUUACUUGCUGAACAGCAAUAACAGGACAAGACAGUUGUUUCACACGGUUAAUACUCAUGAUCGGCUGACCAACCUUUUCUUGGCUUCCAGCACUUCCAACAACAUAGCAACCCAAUAACUUGGCAAAUUGGCCAACAAGCUGACCUACUGCACCAGAAGCUGCUGAAACAAAGACAUACUCCCCUUUCUUUGGAGAGCAAAGCUCAUAAAAACCACAAUAUGCAGUCAUACCUGGCAUUCCUGCAACGUAUAAAUGUACUACAAUUAGAUAAACUUUUGACCAUCUAGGAAAGAAUGAUAAUUAUACGGGUGAGGAAUUAUUAGAUAUAAUUUUCAAUUUCAUUUACAAUGGACGUUUGAAUUAGAUGGACAAGGAAAGAAUCUCUUUCUUUUGUCACUCUUCAUCUUAAUUGUUAUUGCUGCAUGCUUCAUACGUCAGAAAAUGAAGAUUAUAUCUUGAAAGCUUCCUAGCAUGAAAUAUCAUAUCUGCUAAGGAUGCCGAAAACUAAGUGGAGCUCACAAUUACCAGCCAUGUAUUUUAGUAGCACCAAAGCUACCUAACUUAAAAAAGAUAAAAUUGAACAAAAAGGAUAAAAAGAAAACAAAAAAAAUUCUUGACUAGAAUUACAUAUAUCAACAGCCCUAUUCUAAAUUGUAUUGAUUGUUUUCUUGAAAAGUAUUCAAUGAAAUGCAAGAUAAGCAGAGUGACUGACGAACCAGGCUUGAAGGACUCAGCAUAAGAUCCUUCAAGUAUUAACAUUCUACCUCUCAUGGCUGAAUGCAUGACAAAUAAACAUUCUACCUCCGUAGUACUGCAUUCCGCAGCAAUCCUCAUGCAUCAACGAGUGACAAGUCGAAGUCUAAGAAGAAGUCUGAAUACAGGGUAUAGCAUGGCAGAAAUUUUUUUUUUUUUUUUUUGAUUUACGUGGGGUGUCCGGGCCAGCUUACGCGCACCACGACUAUUCCCCACGGCCCACUGGACAUCCUGCAAGCCCAGGAGCAGGUAAGGCACCGCGGGGGUGACAGGCGUGCACAUAGAGGGUCGAACCCGGGACGGGGGCGGAACAAGUCAUACUGUUGACCACAGCAGCUAGACCCUCAAGUGCGCAUGGCAGAACUUUUAAUUUGAUUGUUGGAUGCUUCCUUACCUACAAGGAUGGGAACAUGCCCAAAUUUGGUCUCGUUUUGGAAAUUUUUGUAUUUAUCUAGUAUUUUUGGAUUUCUUUUUUUAUUUUGUUCCUUUUCCUUUAAACCUGAGGUCGGUUUAAAGUACUGUUUAAACCGUUUGUAGCUUAUUUUCAGAGUAGAUUAAUUGUUAUUAUCAAAUUUAAAAUUUAUCAAAUCAGAGUUUGGGUCUAUGAUUGUUGCUGCUGCCGCUGCUGGAAUUUAAGUUGAUGGUUUCUUUUGAAUAGUUGCAUUUAAUUUAUGCUAAAGAAUAUGAUAAUAGAUCAGAGCCAAAAUUGUUUAGAAUAUGAUAAUAGUUGCUGUAGUUGGAUGUUAGUUGGCAAGUCUUUUCGUUUGAAUUUUGCAUUUCUAAUUUUAGAAAUGCAGGUUCAUUUUGGAUUAAACUACAUAUCUUGUUUCUCUGCUAUGCCUUGUGCCAAAUUUAUUUCCUUUAUUUUUCAGUGAUGUAUUGUGAGUCAAAAUUCGUAUAAAUCAUCACAGCUAAAUAAACGAUUCAUUACUUUGCACAUCAGAUUUUCUAAUUUCAAUGUUAGUUCUAUAAAGAAGGUGAUAAAAGCCUGGCUGUUGUUCCACUGGAUAUAUGAACAAAACUAGAAAAAUAUCAGGACCUUCAAACAUGGAAGAGGACUGGUCCUUGCUGUUAAAGAAGUGAAUAGUUCUAGAGCUCUCUGAAAAUACCAAUAAAAUUAAUCCAUCGAUGAUAUCUUUGUAAUUGGUAAGAUGAACAAUGCUAAGGAGAAAUGAACAGUUUACCAAUGAGUUUACGAAUGGAUUUUACUGAAGGUAUUAAUACCGUCGGUAAUUCUGUUGGUAUAAAUGACAUGUCAUCGUAUUUUUUGGCUUUGUUUUAAUUCAUUCUUUUUCCACUGUAAUUCUGUGGAUAUAUAUAGAGGAAAUAUAUUUCUGUCGGUAAAAUUCACUAUAAUUACCCGACAAAAACAUUUUGUUAAUGUUUCCACUUGUAUUUGUCAAUUUGUUGGUAAUGUGAAUCUAAUUUCCAUUCUAAGACUCUACCUACUUCUAGUCUCAAUAUUGUCAAGGAUAAUAUCUCUUACUAUUCAUCUUUUCCUUUGAAUCUCUAACCAUAUCCUUUUAUUUGUGAGUACUCUAUGACACUUUGUCCAUAUCAACCCAAACAUUAUCUUGUCCAGCAUCUUUUGUUUAUCCAAGGUUGCUUCACCAUCUUUGAGCCUGUUUGGCUCUGCGGCUGCGGUUGUGUUUUUUUUAAAACGCAGUUGCAGCCGUUUGGUUACAAAAAAAAACAGUUUACUGUUCAUUGGGUCCCACCUGUUUUCUGCGUUGGAAACGCAGUAUUUGCAAAGCAAGAAUUACAUGCUUUUUUUGCACUGUUCACGUAAUUGCACUGUUCAUUGAACAGUGCAAAAUGAUGCACUGUUCAUGAACAGUGCACGAAAAGUGCACUGUUCAUGUUAAAAAUAGUGAACAGUGCACUUUUCUUGCACUGCGUGGAUUUUUUUUUUAGUGUGUUAAUUUUUUUUUUGUUAAUUUUUUUAAAAAAAACUAAUUUAGAGUGAAUUUUAUACAUGAUAAUAUUUUAUUUAAUUUUAUUACACGCUAAAAAAUUAUGGAAACUGUAGUUCUUGUCAGAUAAAUUUUAUACGUAAUGGAAUUGUAGAUAGUUUAAUAGAACAAUAAUUUUUUUUAUAUAUAAAGUAUGAUUUAUUUCAUAAUGUUACCGCAAUAGUUAAAUCUACAAUAUUUAAAUUAAAAACCAUCAAUAUUAAUUUAUAUUUUUUUAAAUUAUUUUAUAACCUCAAUUUCAAAAACAUUCUUAACCAAACACAUUAAACUACUUUUUCUUCAACCUCAAUUUUAACCACAGUUUUAACCAAACACCUAUUUUUUUCAAACCAACCACAACUAAAAGUACUUUUUAUAAAACAACUUUUUUUAAACCACAACCACAACAGCUACCGCAAUACCAAACACACUCUUUAUCUAAACCUAUUUGUUACACCGAGGCUAAACAACAUCCUAAGUCAAAUUCAAUGAUGGCUGCGAAAAUCAAUGCAUUAGUCCACAAGGACACUUAGCCUAUAGUUCUUUUUUAUAUCUUUAUGAAUGUUGCUAGCUGCAAGUGGGUGUACUAGAUUAAAUAGAAAACUAAUCCGUCCAUUUAAUAUUAUAAAACCUGGUUGGUAGCUAUGAAAUAUCAUAAAAGAGAAUAUUGAAUUUGACAUGACCGUUAGUCUAAUUAUCAAAUCGGUUACAAUUUAGAUAGUUUUAUCUAUUACUAUUUUCCAAGACUGGUUUAUUUGUCAGUUGGAAGUUUACUACCCUCUGAGUUUUGUUGAUCCUCACCUUCCUUCUCAUGCAUGUAAACUUCACAAGUCUCUCUAUGGACUUAAAUAGGCACCACUUGCUGAGUUUGAUAAGCUUUGCUAUUUUUUUUAGGUCUUGCUUUUUGCGCGUGUCAAAUUGACACUUCCCUUUUAAUAUACUAAUAAUCAACUAUUUGCAUCUAUAUUUUAGCUUUUAUUGAUGAUAUUCUUAUCACAAAUAAUGAUCUUUUUUUUUUAAGACUCAAACAAUUACUCGUCUGAUUUAUUUUCUUGGUAUUGAGAUAUAACAUCUCAUAAGAAUUGAUGGUAUGUCUCAAUCUCAUAAGAAUUGAUGGUAUGUCUCAAUAUCAACCAAUUUCUACACCGAAAACUGUUGAUUCUCGUCUUUUUACCACCUCUACUAAGUGGCUCUACUUAUUCUUACCUUACUUUAUACCAUUAAUUGUGGUUGGAGUUUUUUUUAUAUGGCUAGAUAUUUCUUUUAUUAUUAAUAAGGUUUUUAAGUUCAUGCAUGUUGUCACACCCGGAUAUCACAACGAUUAAUUCAAAGUUUUUAUGAAAAAAAAAAACAAAUAUCUAACAUCUUGUUGUUUAGAGAAAAAUGCCUAAUUCAAUUAAUUGCCAUUUAAUAUUAUAAUCACUAGAAUCUUAACUGAUCAACAGAGAUUCUUAUGGUACGAGACUGAUUACAUGAAAAGGAAGAUGCUAUCACCAUUUACGCGUCCUGCUUAAAGCAGACUGCAUUGCUGGUUUUGUCUAAAAUCAUUAAGAGUUUGUUCUUCCUCUUUUUUUUUUAUUCUUCCUAUCAUGCUCUUGACUCUAAUGUCAGUAAACAAUACAUGCGAAUAUUUUCAACUCUGGCGUUAGUAAAUAUUAAUCAAACCCAAAAAAAUACGAUAUUCCUGACUCUUCCAUCAAUGAAUAAGUUUGUAAAAUUUUGAAUUUUUGUAUGAAGGAGAAAUAAAUUUUCUAUGCCCUUUUUUGUUUAUCCCUUUUUAUUAUUUACUCUUUUUAGACAAGCCUAAAAAAUCUAUAUUGCAUGACAGAUUUGCAUUUAACAAUCACGGUCCACAGAUUGAGCAUAUAGUAGGAAAAAAAAUGCAAUGAAAAAAUAAAAAAGUAAAAAAUAAAAUAAAACAAUGCGCGAGGGGUCCAAAAAUAAAUCCACGGAGGUCCCCAAAUAUUCUGAGAAUUUUUUGAUAUAAAAAAGAACUUGUUUGGUCAAAUAUCAAAAUAAAAAGGGCAUAAAAAAAAUAUGAUCAAAACAUAAGUAUGUGUUUAGUAACACUCUUAGCAAACACAGUCUGGCUGGCUGGGCUUGAAGCUCAGAUCUGACCCAUUCUAUAUGGGUUGGGCUAGACCCAACCCGCCCGGCUACUGGUUCAGACCAAUAACUGGUUGGUUCUGCAAGUGUGCGUGCUGGCGAGAGAUGUUGCUGGCUUUUGGCUGGGAUUCUGGAAUUUCCACUACUCUUCUUCUGCCUUCUCCUCCUCCUCUUUUCUUUUCUGCUCUUUUGGUUUGUGUUUAUUUUUGGUCAAGUUGAUUUGCUCUCAUUUUCUCUCCCCUGUUAUUCGUUCCCCUGUUUUCUCCUCCCCCUUUUUUCUUUUUCUUCUUUCUCCUCCCUCUUUUUUUUUUCCGUCAUCUAUGCCUCUGCCUUUUAUAGGCAUUCUGUCCUGCUUCCUAUCUUCCAUGAUAGUGAUAAGGCCUGGGUUUUUGUGUUUUGGCCGGAUUGGGACACCAAGAGUGCUGCCAUCGCUGGACUGUUGGUGGUGGUUUCCUCCACGCCUCAAUGGCUUGUUAUGGCGGCGAAGGACACGAAAACGAACUGAGAAGCUGGUGAUGGAAUUCGUGGGCAUUGCAAUGUGUCUGGUGGUGUGAGUUGUCUGUCUGGGUGGCAUUCUGUAUUUCCUUCGCAGGUUGUCCUCUGUUUCCAGAGGAAGAAGACGAAGAAUAGAACAAACGGCGCCGUUUCUGACUGGGGCGGCCCUUUUGCAAUUUAGUCAUUUUACGUUUUGACAUCUUCUAAUCAGGCCCCUGGGAACAUUAUAAUCAGACCCCUAGAUUUUUGCACCUUUUACAAAACAGUCAUUGUCUUCCAGUUUAAUGAAUUUAGUCUUUAAUUGGUUCCACACUUUGGUGUUUCUUUAAUUAAGCCUCUAAUCAUUAAUUAAACUAAUUUUAAACUCAAUUAAGUCUUCAAAUUUAUCAAUUCAUUAAUUAAACCCUUGAUAUCAUUAAUUAAAUAAAUUCAAAGUUUAAUGAAGUCCCCAAACUUAUCAAUUCUUUCAAUUUAUAGCAAAAUUAAACCUCAAUUUAUAAUUCCUUCCUGGUUAAUCCUCAAAAACUUUUCAUUUGUAUUGUCUUGAUUCAAAUCUCAAUUUUUCUUCAUUUAUUUAAUUUUUUUCAUUUUAUUUUCUUUUUAUUUUAUAAAAAUUAAAAAAAUUAAAAAUUUUGACAUUGAUUGGGUUAGUAAUAUCAAUUAUCAAAAGUCUUAUUUGUGCCUAGUUUUCUUAUGGGCUAAGCGUGCAAGCCUCGUAGCUUAGGUCUAUCUGCACUUGAUGUUUCUUGUCCAUCCUAUUUUUUUUUCUUUUCUUAUAAUUUUUAUAUCUUAAAUUGAAAACCUCUUUAAAUAAAUAAUUGCAACGAUGUUUCAUAAAUCAUUCAAUUAUAUUAUUAUUUUUAAAUAAAAUUAUAAAUUUUUAUGGUUAUAUUUGCAUUAUUUUUAUAAUUAUGUACAAAACUCGCAUGCAAAAUAUUUUAUAAAAUGAACAUUAAUAUUUAAUGAGAAUAAAACAUAUAUAUUUUUUUAUCUUUGUAUUGCCAAAUUUUAUAUUUUUUAUCAAAUUAAUUAUUCUUUAUUAUUUUCAUAAAGUCUCAUAAAAAUAAUGGGGAUGUUAUUAUUUUUUUAUUUUGUUUUUGAAAAUUAGCUCGAAAUCAUGAUAAGUUCUUAUAUAAAAAAAUCAACCUUUUAAUAGAAAAUACAUUUUCAUCAAAAUAAAAAUAAAUAUAUGAAUAACAAAAAGGGAAUAUUGGCAAAAGAAAUAUAUUUUUCCUCUUAAAUUUAAAUUAUUUGAAUUCUUAUGAAUUUUUAUUUUAGUUGUUUUAAUUUUUAUUCAAAAAACAUGUGGUGUUGAUUAAAAAAGAAAACUUUCAUGGCUUUGUCAAAUAAGAAAAUAAAUGCAUAAACAAGAAGGGAGAUUUUUGACUGAAUAAAUAUAUAUUUUACUCUAGAAUUUAAAUCAUUGAAAUUCUUUAAGAUAUUUUUUAAUCUCUAUAAAAUUAAAUAAAAAUUAAUUUUAAGAAAAGCCCCGCACCAUCAAAUAUGGGACUUUUCAAACAAUACUCGCCUAAAUAUCCAUUGGGUGUUGUAUUUGCUUGGGAUGGGAACUCUACUUAUAUUAAAAUAUUUUUAUUUUCAAUAGGAACUAAAAAUUAAGUUAUACAUCAUUGGAAAACAAAGGUAUCAAAUGAUAGAAAAACUAGAACUUAAGGGAUCAAGUUGAAGUUUUCCAUGUCAAAAUCUAAACCGUGUUUAUUUUGUUUUCUUUGUUAAAGUUGGCACCUCUUAUUUUAAUUUCUAUUUUUAAUUAUAAUUUGAGAUCGAAUCCACCAAAUAGACUUUUAAUUCAUGCUGAAAUAUUCAUAAUGCAAAUUGAAAGGAUUGUAAGGAAAAAAAAAACCAUGCUAAUACAACAAAAAAAUAUGAAAUUAAAAAGAAUAAAUGUUUAAUAAUUAAAUUAAAAAAAAAACACCAUGGCUGUGAACAGUAUAAUACAUAGUGUAAUGUGUCUGGCACAAUAUUGAAUUAAACUGGGCUAAAAUCAGUUGAAGAAAUUAUGAGUGAAAAAAGGUUUCACUGUUCUUAUUAUUUACAAAGCAAAGUUACACACAUGUAUAUAUAGAGAAAUCUUUAGCCAGUUAUUGUUACAAUCCUUCUAGGAUAGAUAUCCUAUCAGCGGCAGGAUAUAUCUGUCAGGUCUUUGUCUUAUGAUUACACACGGAAUUAUCCUUCAAUGCUAUCUGUCACCACAAUUUCAGGAACCGAAGAGAGUUUACAAGUGCAGGACACUAGAUAUUUGCAAUAGACGGAGUCAGAAUUUUUUUAAUAAAAGAAUAAAUUAUUAAUAAAUACUAUAUUAUAUAGAUAUGCAUUAGAAAUCAAUUCAAAUAUAUAUAAUUUUUAGUUAUUUCUAUAAUUUUUUUUUUUUUUUUUUUAAAAAAAACAUUCUUUAAGCGAAGAUUUAAUAGACUAACGCCUGGUCAAAGUCUUCUUUGGAUAAAAAGACCCGGCUUCAAUAUCACUGGCACGCUCUAGAAUUUCCAUGAAGGUCACGCCAAUACAUGGUUAGAGCUGUCCCAUAUAUGCAAGUUGUCCGUGGAAAUUUAUACAUUUUUUAUUAUGAUGUUAUUGUUGGGUUUCUUACAAACACGGUAGAACGAAUAAUCUUAAUUUUUUAAAUAAUAAAUAUAUUUUAUACGAAUAAAAUUAAUAACAAGUUUUAAAUAAUGUUAAAGAUAAAAAAAUAUUUUUUUAAAUAAUAAAAAUAUUUUAUAUGAAUAAAAUUAAUAAUAAAUAUCAGAUGACACCUACGAACCAAAAAGCAGGGCUGAGAGGUGGAAGUCAGCAGCCAAAUACAUGAAGACGGGAGUGUGAGGGCGAGGGCCUUCUGAGUUUCCCGUGUGGAAAAUUAUGCCAUUUGAUUGUUGAUGCUACAUACCCAACAACGCGGUUUUGUAAUCAAUGCUGCCGACCUGGGAAAAAGAUUUAUACUGAAGAGUCAAGGAGGCUCAUGAUUAGUAGAUAUGGGAAGCAAAGUGGUUGAGCUUCUUGAGCGAAGGUUCAAUGAUAAAUACAGCCAUCGUCUCGAAGUCUUUAGCCCUUUCGUCUGUUCCCAAGUAAACUGCCAAUCAUGACCAGCGGUUGCGCUUAAUAUCUGCUUGGAAUUAUAUUAGUGAUUAUGAUUUAAAAUAUUUUUAGUUUAGAAAUAUAUUAAAAUAAUAUUUUUUAUUUUUAAAAAAUUUAUUUUAAUAUUAUAAAUCAAAAUAAUUUAAAAAUAUAAAAAUUUUAUUUUUAACAAUUUUUUUUUUUUAAAACACGAACACCAAUCAAGAACUUGAAUACAAGCGCAGUGUGAGAAACACUCUUAUUUUACAAGAACAAAAACCCAUAAAUUCCAAACAAAACAAUUGUGUGUGGAAAAAAGAGAAGAGUUAGUGUUCAUACCCGCAUUGAUUGACAGGAAGAAGUCUUUAAUAACUCACAAAAGAGGCUUUUACCACUCAUUAUUCGUCCUCUAGCUCAAACUUGGAAAGGGUUAAACGAAAAUUUAAAAAUGAUUCCCAUGGUCUAGACCAGGAAAAUCAUUAUCAUAAUAAUUACCUAUACCCUAAACGGUACGUUUUUGUCAUAAAAUUCUUUUCUCUUGCAUUUUAGUCGUUAGGAGUUGAGAGAGAAUAGUAGCCAGCAAAGGAGAAAAGAGAGAAAAGUUUCAGCUGACUACAAAAAUAAUUGAUCCUAGCAUCAAUAAACUCUUCUUGAAAAAGUGUUUAAUGGAGGUUUUUUUCCUCAUACUUGAAAAAAUAAAUUGAGGUUUGCAAAAACAAUUUUAUUUGAUUUAAUUUUUAAUUUUUAAAGUGAGUAGAAAGUCUUUAUUGAUUGAAAAUGUAUUUAUUAAAGUGAGUAGAAAGUCGGUAAAAUCCGUCGGUCAUUCCAUUGGUAAACUGUGAACACUGUUCAUCACGUCAAUUACAAAGGGAAUCACCGACGAAAUUUUCCAUCAGUAUUUUCCAGAGAGCUCCAAAACUGUUCACUUUCCAAUUGCACUGUUAAUUGUUGUUUUUUACGGACAAAAUCACCGACGGAUUGAAAAGUCGUCGGUGUUAUUUGGCGGUUUUCUGAAAAAAUUCAAUUAAUUUAAAAUUUUCAUUUAAAUAUUACAGACGGAAUCACCGACGGAUUGAAAAAUCAUCGGUAAUUGUUGGCGGUUUCUGAAAACUUUUUACGAAAUUGAAAAUUUAAAUUAAAUAUUACUAAUGGAAUUACCGACGGAAUAAUUAAAAAAUAUUAAUAUUCAAUUAUCCGUCGGUAAAGCGCCGCAAUAAAAAGCCUGAAUCCCCUUAUUUCACAAGAGACAUACUCAUUUCUUAUUCUUCUUCUUCUUCUUCUUGUUCUUCUACUUCUUCUUCUUCUUUACUAUACGUAAAAAAACAUCAAUAUCUAUUUCUUUCUCUUCUUUUCUCUCCUCAUCUCCUUCUCUUUUCCUCCAUGCUUAGGUAUGUCUUCUUCUUCUUUCUUCUUUCUUCUUUUAUCCUCUCAGUUUUUUUUUAAUUAAUAUGCUUAACGAAAUUUUUUUUCUCUCCUUAGCUUCACUUGCAACUACAUUAAGAUAAGAUUUUUCUUUUUUCUUCUUUUUUCAUGAUUUUUUUCACUAUAUUUGUUUUUUAUUUUAUUUUUAUUUUUUUUUGUUCUUAAUAAUUGUAUAAAUGUUGUUGUGAGAUUUUUUUUUCAUAUGAGAUCAAUUUUUAGUUGAUUUAUUUAUAGGAUUUUUAAAUUUUUAGCAAUUUCAACUUCAUUUUUUUCAUAUGAAUUUUUUUAGUUGAAUUUAUUUUUUUGUUUUAUUUAUUUGUUGCAAAUUUGUUUGAGUUGAUUUUCUUAUUUUUUUUUCCAAGCAUUUUGAGUAUAUAUUAUACGGUCUUAAUUUAUGUUAAUUUAAUUAUUUUAUAAUUUUAUAAAAUGAUUUUUUUUAAAUGUUUUUAAAUAAUUACUGACGGAAUUAACGACGGAAAUUCCAUCGGUAAUUCCGUCGGUAAAUCCGUUGGUAAUAAAAAAAUAUUAUUACCGAGGGAUAUACCGACGAAAUGAAUAUUUUUUUAUUACCAAUGAAUUUACCGACGGAAAAAAAAUUACCGACGAAAGAUUCACCGACGGAGCAUUUCCGUCUGUGAUUCCGUCGGUAAAUUAAUUACCGACAGAAUAUGUGUCUUACGCCGACGGAAAAAUUCCGUCGGUAAAACUGUUAAAUCUUGUAGUGAAAAUUAGAUUUUUUUAAAGAUUUGAUAAAUUUUUCAAAGUUAUAUUAUUAUAAAUCACAAAUUACUCGAUUAUUCGGUUUUUGUUUGGACUUUGACUGUGAUGUUGACACAAAACACUUGCAUGCUAGUCUUUGUAUGUACCAUCAUCAUCCACCAACUCUAAAUCACAAAAUUAUUGCAACAACUAUAAUCAAUCAGCAACAACCAGGAAAUUACCUUUGAUCACACGCUGCUAAAGAAAUUAAUUUCCUAUAUAUGUUACGCUUCAUCUUUGAUAAUUAUUGCAUAUAUUGCUCUAAUAAUUUGCAAGAAAGCAUUUGCAUUCUUUCUCCGGAACAUUAAUAUUGCCUCUACUAUCCUUCAGUCCUGAUCAUUACUUUACUCUUCAGCUAACGUUUCUGAGUGCUGAAAUUUGAUCUUUAAAGUCGCCAGGUUGGUGGAAUCCGAUCAACUCAAACACCAUAUUGAGGUAAGCUUUGCGAUGGUUGCUACUGAUUGCAUGCAUGCAUGUUAUACAGAGGUAUUGCGAGCCCUAAAUUUUUAGCUAAAAUCUAAGUCCAAGUUAGUCUAAAUCUAACCUAAAUUAAUCUAGAUACAUAAAAAAAUAAUUGUAAGAGAAUUGUUUCUCACUUUUAUUUCUUGUGGCUGUCGUGAUCUCCCAUCAAACUAAAGAUUUUAAUUUUUGAUCUUGAGUUUUUAAGUUCAAAAAAGAUGGAAAUAACAAGUAAAUGGUUCUCUCUCAUGUUAUUUUCAAUUAUGGUUUGUUUAUGGAAGGAUUAAAAAAGAUAUUAGGGUUUAUAAGAAUUUGAAAUUUAUGUUAUUAAGAUUGAUUUAUAAUUAUUAGGAAUUUAAUAUUAAGUGAUUGAUUUUGAGUAUGUUGUUAGAAAUAAAGAUUUGUGAAUUAAUUUGUUUAAAUAGAUUUUUAUGGGUUAAGAAGUUUAUUUUGGAAAAUCUGGACAGAAUGGUCUUGAGGUUGAAAAUGAUAAAAUUUUAUUUUUGUCUUUGAUUUAUGAAAAUUAUAGUUAGUCCUUGAACUUUGGAAAAUUAUAAUUUAACCCCUGAUAUGUCUUUUGGAAUUCUGGGCAGUAUUAUUAUGAGGUCAAGGAUGAUGAAUCUCAGUUUGAUAAUUGAUUUGGAAUAUUUUCAGUUUCGUCCCUCAAUUUUGGGAAUUUACAUUUUAGUCCCUGAACUUUAAAAGAAUUACAAUUUGGUCCAUGUUUCGUUCUGGGCAGAAUUGAGGAUGGUUUAUGGAUGGAAUUUCAGUAUGGUUAUGUAUUUACAGUUUGGUCCUCCAAUUUUUGUAAAAUCACAUUUUGGUCCCUAUUUUGGAAAAUUGUCGUUUUAGUCCCUAAACUUAAGCGACUAAAUCUGGUUUUAUUUUAUGCAUUGGGAUCUUUUAUUUGUGUUGGUUUUUUAGUUUAUUUUGUAUAUUUGUUGUAGGUUCUCCUAACUAUUCUCAAUAAGAUUUUCGGAUCUUUCAUAUUAUUUUCCUUUUAAUCUAUUUUUUUUCGGGUGAGUAUGAUAAUCUUUAAUAUGCAUAUUAGGGGUGAGCAAAAAAACCAAGAAACCGAAUAAACGGAGAAAACCGAGAAAAAAAUAACCGAAAAAACCGAACCGAAAAAAAAAACCGAUUAAUUUUUUUGCAAAAAGUUUCGGUUCGGUUCGGUUCCGGUUCCAGAAACCUGAAACCGAAAAAACCCCAACCGAACCGAACCGGUUCGGUUUAAGGGGUACUAUAAAUACAAAAAAAAAUCGCGUUAUUUUUCUUAACCCUAGCAUCCAUACUCCUGCUCCAGCCGUCCUUCUCCUUGCUCCUGACUCCUGAGCCGCUCCCUCAACUCACAAUUCACAAUUUCACAUCUGUGACAAAAUCAAUCCAUCUUCUGAUCUUCAUCUACUGGACCACAGCCAACCACAUCUCUUUCCCAGCAUAUUCAUCUUCAAAGUUCAAACGCCAGUCAGCCACAUCCCUCUCCCACCGGCCACCAUCUUCAUCUUCAAACCCCAGUAAGUCACAUCCCUCUCUCACACGGUCACACCCGAUCUUGAAUCGCAGGACACACACCACACCGGCUACAAGCCUGAAAGAUGGCUCAAUGAGGAUGGCGUGCUUCAGCAAGAAAGCCCUUUCAAGUUUACAGCUUUCCAGGUUAGUGAAAAUAAAGAUCUGUCUAAUUCACUUGAUUAACAUUCAAAUAAAUUUUCUGCUGCCUUUGCUGUGCAAAUCAUUAAGAUCUAUUUUCAGUGCUUGCUCAGCUUAACUUUAUGGACUCCCAUCUCGUUGACCAAAUGACUAAAAUCAGGCUUUCUGCUGGUUAACAGGCAGGGCCACGGAUAUGUCUUGGGAAGGAAUUUGCUUAUAGACAGAUGAAGAUCUUCGCGGCUGUCUUAUUGGGCAGUUUUAUUUUUAAACUCGUUGAGUCCAACUUUUGAUCCAGUCAGGCAGUCACCUCCCUCUCUCACAUCCGACCUUGAAUCAUGUCACAACAGGUAUGGUUUCUUUUUUCUGUCAAUCUCUGUUUUUUUUUUAACAUAUGCUCUGUGAUUCUGUUUAUUAUGAGCUUGAUGUUAUUACAUCAGGGAGAAAAAUAGGAAAAAACAGUUUCCCCGAGAGGCAUUUGUUUUAAAUAUCAUUGCUAAUCCAUUAUUAUGGUAUGCUGUUGCUGUGUGCUAAAAAAACAAAGAAUUAUGUUUAUUAUCUGUGUUAAAAAAAGAGGGGGGGUUCGGUGGAUUGUAAUUUAUCAAUUCUGAAAACUAAGUUUUUUUUAUUUUAUGAAAAGAGAAUAAUGUGUAUAUAUAUAUAUGCUGCUGGGUUGAAAUUACAAAAUACAAUAUAUGCUGCUGUGUUCUAUAUAUAUAUAUAUAUAUGCUACUGGGUGCUGAGAUUGUAUUUCAACCCAGCAGCAUAUAUAUAUAUAUAUAUAUAUAUAUAUAUAUAUAUAUAUAUAUGAAAAAAGAGUAGCUUGGAUUGAAGGGAGAAGUUUUUGUAUUAAUUUGCCAUUGAUUGUACUCAGCACCCUUACUUUGGAUUGUUGAUCAAUUCCAAAAAUAAUGAAAAGUUCAUGAUAUAUGCUUGAGUUUUCCUUUGGUUGGCAACACUCACGAAUUUAAAAAAGAGUAGCUUAAUUAAAUAACACCUUUUGCUUCAUACUCCCUUCUCACCCAUGUUUCUGAACUACUAGAUUUACCAUUCGAAUAUAUAUAUAUAUAUAUAUAUAUAUAUAUAUAUAUAUAUAUAUAUAUAUAUAUAUAUAUAUAUAUAUAUAUAUAUAUAUAUAUAUAUAUAUAUAUAUAUAUAUAUAUAUAUAUGCUGCUGUAUAUAUAUAUAUAUUUUGUAUUGUAUUAUUGUCUAUUGAAAUUACAAAAUGCAAUCUCAGCACCCAGUAGCAUAAUUUUUUUUCAACAUAUCAACCAAAAUAAAAGAACUUAACUUGUGAAAAUAAUCUUUAAAAGUACAGUUGAACUUAUGCAUGUCAUACUAUUGUUAAUCUAUUAUAAAUUAUUGGUUUUUAACAUGUUUUCAUUAUGUAAUAACAGAUGGAAACUACUCAAAUUCAAAAUGCUUCAUCCAUGGGCACUACUCCAACAUCAACUACUUCUCCAACUUCAAAACCUAACGCAGAAUCAACCAAUGCAGGGUCCACCACAGAUACAAAAGGUAAACAACCUCAAGUCCUUACAUCUAGGAAAAGAAAUGCUGAUGAUAAAAAGAAGUCACAAAUUUAGGAUCACUUUACAAAACUUGAUGUUGAUCCUAAAGCCCCUAGAGCUGAAUGUAAUUAUUGUGGAAAACAUUAUGCAUGUCAUACUAUUGUUAAUGGCACAAGUAAUAUGUGGAGUCAUUUAAAAGUGUGCAAGAAGUUCCCUUUUGUGGUUGAUAAGAAACAAAAGGUUUUGGUAUUAGAACCUAAGAUAGAGAAGGGUGAAUUGGGAGAACAAAAUGUGGGAAGUCUCAAGGCAAUAGGUUAUAAUUAUGAUGAAUGUAGACAAGCACUAGCAAAGAUGGUUAUAAUUGAUGAGUUGCCUUUUAAUUUUGUGGAGGGUCGGGGAUUUAAAUUGUUUGCUAGGACUAUGCAACCUAGAUUUGACAUUCCUUCUCGUUUUACAAUUAUGAGAGAUUGUUUGAAACUUUAUGUUGAAGAGAAGGAUAGAUUGAGGACAGCUCUUAGGGGUCAACGAUUGUGCUUGACAACAGAUACAUGGACAUCAAUCCAAAAUAUUAACUAUAUGUGUUUAACAGCUCAUUGGAUUGAUAAUGACUGGAAUUUGCAUAAAAGAAUUCUUAAUUUUUGUCAAGUUUCCAAUCAUAUGGGUGAGACAAUUGGCCAAGUUAUUGAGAAUUGUUUGUUGGAGUGGGGGAUUGAUAAACUGUUGACUAUUACAUUAGACAAUGCAAGCUCUAAUAAUGUGACCAUUUCAUAUUUAAAGAAUGUGAUGAAAGAUUUGCCAACUAAUAUAUUGUCAAAUGAGCACUUGCAUGUUAGAUGUUGUGCACACAUUGUAAACCUCAUUGUAUGUGAUGGCUUGAAAGAGAUUAAUGAUUCAGUUGUUAAGAUUCGAAAUGCCAUUAGAUUUGUGAGAUCUUCACCAUCGAGGCAUCUUGCAUUUAAGAAGUGUGCUGAAAAGUUGCAUAUAGAGUGUAAGAAAUCAUUGUGUUUAGAUGUUGCAACUCGAUGGAAUUCAACUUAUCUUAUGCUAGAAGCUGCUGAAAAGUUUGAAAAGGUGUUUGUGAGGUUAGGUGAAAAAGAACUUAGGUAUAUAAGUUACUUUUUGGAGGUUGAUUCAAAGGGGAAAAAAAAAACAUAGGGCCACCUGGUUUGGAGGAUUGGGAAAAUGCAAGAACUUUGGUUAAGUUCUUAAAGAUCUUUUAUAUGGUUACAUUGAGAUUUUCUGGCUCAUUGCAUGUCACAUCAAAUUCUUUCUUCAAUGAAUUGAUUUACAUGCAUACAAACUUGUUGCAAUUGUGUAAAAAUAAAGAUAGUAUUUUAAGUGGAAUGGCGAUGAAUAUGAUGUUAAAGUUUGAGAAGUAUUGGGGUUGUGAAGUAAAUCAGAAUUUUUUGUUAUAUGUGGCUACUGUCUUAGAUCCACGUUUGAAGUUGAAAUAUGUGAAAUUUUGUUUUAGUGAUUUGUAUGAUUAUGACAAAGCACAAUUGCUAACAACUAAGGUGAAAGAUACUUUGGUGAACUUGUAUGAGUUUUAUUUGAAAAUUGAUGAAGUGGUGGAUAAUAAUAGGCAUAAACAGGAUGUUAAUGCUAUUGAUAAUGUGGAGGUAGAUGUUAACACUUUGGCUCGAUUCAAAAGACAUUUGCUAGAGGUGGAUAGUGUGGAAAAUAAAAAUGAGGUUGAGAGGUAUUUGAUUGAAGGUUGUGAGGAUCCUGAUGAUGAUAAGUUAGAUAUUUUGGGUUGGUGGAAAAGUAAUGCUUUGAAAUAUAAGACACUUUCAAAGGUUGCACAACAUGUUCUGGCUAUUCCUAUAUCCACAGUGGCUUCUGAAUCAGCAUUUAGCACAGGUGGUCGUGUGCUUGAUCAAUUUCGAAGUUCUCUCUCUCCAGCAACUGUUCAAGCACUCAUUUGUUGUCAAAAUUGGUUGCAUCAUGGAUCAAUUCCAACUGAUAUUAGAAGCUUGAUAAAUGAUCUUGAAACCUACGAAAACCUUGAGUCAGGUAAUUUUUUUUAGAAAUUUGCACCUUUUAUUUUGUUAUUUAUUAAUUAAAUUGUUUGCAAUCAUCUAACAUGUCUAAUUUUUUAUUUUGUAGAAUUUGGUGGAAAGUUACAUUUAGUAACGGAUGAUAAUUAGUUCAAAAGUUACUUUGAUGGUAAAAUACUACUAUUUAUUUUUACAUAUUCUAAUUUAUUUUAUCAUGUUAUAAUUUUAGAUCUUGAUUUUCAGGUUUUGAUGUCAAUGGUAUUACGGAAUCAAAGUGCAAUGUUCUUGUUAUCUUGUUGUGCUUUUUGAUUAAGAUGAUGUGCACAAUGAAGAUUUAUAUUUUUUGCAUGAAGUAUUUUAUUUUUUAUGGCAAUGUUAUUUGUUGUUUUUUUAAGCCCAUUUUGAAGGCAAUGCUUUGUAAUUUUAAUUUUAAUUUGGUGUGUGUGUUAUUUAAAUUUUGAUGCAUGAGGAGUCCAAACUCCAAAAUAUAAAUAUUAGAAAGAUGUGCAACAUAUUAAACAUAAUAUUAGCACUAAUAAUUUAAUAUAAAUGAAUAUUUAGUGAAAAAAAAUAUUAAAUAUAUUAUAGAAUUUUGUAACAAAAUUAGAUGAUAUUUACAUUAAUUACAAGCCCAUCAGAAAACCCAUUAAAAAGCCCGAAAAGCCCAAAAAAGCCCAAAAAGGCCUAAAAAAACAAUAAUACAGGUUUUCCGGUUUUUCUGAUAAAAAACCAAACCGAACCGAACCGAAACCGGUCGGUUUGAACCGGUUCCGGUUCGGGUCCGGUUUGAAUUUUUAAGUUUUUCAAAAUUUGAUUUUGGUUAGUUUUUUGGGUAAAAACCGAACCGAACCGAAUUUGCUCACCCCUAAUGCAUAUAAUAUAAAUAAAUAUGUAUGUUGAUUAUAUAAUGAAUACGACUAGUUAAUUUCUUGAAUAUUUAUAUAUGUUGCUUUAUGUUUCAAGUAUUCAUUUAUUCUUGAAUUUGCACUCGUAUUCUGUCGAACUAAAUUCUAUUGGAUAUGAUAUAUAUUUAUUUGGUGAUUAUGUGAAUAUCUAUUAUGCCUUGAUACAGGACUUGUCAGUCACUCCAUGUUAACGAAGAGUAGUUAGCAUAUGUGCAUAUAAUAUUCUGUAUACCUAACUUGUGAGAGAGGCAUCAGCCUGCGGCGAUUGAUCCUUCCAAAGUGGCCACCUUCGGGUGUCAUCUAGUCUCUGACAUGUAUUCCAUCACUUUAUGAUAACAUGCUUAGUAUGUGUAUAUAUAUAUAUCAAGAUAAAUCAACUUACAAACUAUUAAUAUCUAAAAUAUAUAUUAAGUGUUAUUCCCUCACGGAGUUAGUUGAACUCACCCCUCAUUGUUAAUAUUAUUUUAGGUUCUUAAUUUUUGUUAGCAGGUGGACUUUGUUGAGUAUUUCUACUUCGUCAGUUUUAGUCGGUAUACCUUACUUGUUUUACGAGGCUUUCCUUAAGUUUUGAUUCGAUGUUUUAGACGCUUCACUAUUAUUCUAUUUUAAUUAAGUUUGGAUUUUAACAAUGUAGUAAAUAUUAUGGAUUAUUGUUUUUGUUUUAAUUACCGAUAAUAAGUUUUGAACUGUUAUUUGGUUUUAUUAGUUUUAAAUAAUAAAUAUUUCUGAAGAUUUCACUAUGUAUUUUUAAAUAACUUGUUCUUUUGAUAUGUUCAUUAAACUUAGUAUAGGUAGAGAGUCUUUUCAACACCACUCUUGUGUUACCAGCCAUGCACCUGAGAUUCGGGUCAUGACAAGUAUAGCUACCUCUUCUUUGCUUCUUUCUUGUUUUAAAUUGAUGUCUUUACUCAUAACAAUAAUUUGAAAGCUUUAUGUUCAGAUAGACAUCAUUGAUGAGUUUAUUGAGUUAAUUCCUUGGAUGUCUUCUAGAACAAGAUCAUUCUACUUUAGAAUGCCGAAAGAAAAACGCAAACAAUCCAAAGAUGAAGAAAAUGAUUCAUCCUCGCGAAAGAGAAGAAAAGCUGACCUCAUGAGUAAGCUUUUUAAAUGCUAUUGUUUUGUGCUCUCUGGUUCUUAAACUUGAAGUAUUAGGUGAAACUCAAUGAAUGAAUGAUUUUCUUACCUUACUCUCUAAUAGUAAUUGCGUUGAAAUUCCUACUCAGCACAUUCAUAUGUAUUGUCUUUGAUGAUCACUUCACAUGUAUCCCUUACUAGUUAUAAACUUAUAAUUCCACGAUAGCAGAUACCUCCUGCAAUCUCUUCAUUGCUAAUUAAUUAAUCGUGCCUUAAUUUCUGCAGCUGCCAUGACAGAGCCAGAUUCUUCUCGAUCUAGACCACAAGGGGCCUAUGAUGUCUUUUUGAGUUUUAGAGGAGAAGAUACUCGCAAGACAUUUACAGAUCAUCUAUAUACUGCCUUAGUCCAAGCAGGAAUCCACACUUUUCGAGAUGAUGAUGAACUUCCUAGAGGAAAAGAAAUCUCCGAUCAUCUCCUCGAGGCAAUUCAAGAAUCAAAGAUAUCUAUAGUGGUCUUCUCAAAAGGAUAUGCUUCGUCUAGAUGGUGUCUUGAUGAACUUGUAGAGAUUGUGAAGUGCAAAUAUAGGAAAACUAGAACUUAAGGGAUCAAGUUGAAGUUUUCCAUGUCAAAAUCUAAACCAUGUUUAUUUUGUUUUUCUUAUUUUAAUUUAUAUUUUUAACUAUAAUUUGAGAUCGAAUCCACCAAAUAGACUUCUAAUUCAUGCUGGAAUAUUCAUAAUGCAAAUUGAAAGGAUUGUAAGAAAAAAAAACCAUGCUAAUACAACAAAAAAAUAUGAAAUUAGAAAGAAUAAAUGUUUAAUAAUUAAAUUGAAAAAAAAACCAUGGAUGUGGCACAAUACUGAACUAAACUGGGCUAAAGUGAUUGUGCCAUCUCUUUUAGUUAUUUCCAUAAUCUUUGGUAUAGACCUGGGAAAAAGGAGGUUCAUGAUUAGUAGAUAUGAGAAGCAAAGUGGUUGAGCUUCUUGAGCGAAGGUUCAAUGAUAAAUAUAGCCAUCAUCUCGAAGUCUUUAGCCCUUCGUCUGUUCCCAUGUAAACUGCCCAUCAUGACUAGCGGUGGCGUUUAAUAUUAGCGGUUAUUAUAUAAAAUAUUGUAAGAUAAUCAUUAUAUUUCAAUAUAUGAUCAAGGAAGAUAUAUAUAUAUAUAUAUAUAUAUAUAUAUAUAUAUAUAUAUAUGCAAGUUGUGACUAGUUUGGACUUUGACUGUGGAUUUUUUAGAAUUUUUAAAAAAAUUACUUAAAGAUUAGAUUUUUUUAAAGAUUUGAUAAAUUUUUCAAAGUUAUAUUAUUAUAAAUCAUAAAUUACUUAAUUAUUCGGUUUUUGUUUGGACUUUGACUGUGAUUUUGCCAAAACACUUGCAUGCUAGUCUUUGUAUGUACCAUCAUCAUCCACCGAAGUCUAAGUCUUCAAUAACUCACCAAAGCAUUUGCAUUCUUUCUCCCAAACAAUAUUGAUUUUCUUAUUCUUUUUUCCAAGCAUUUUAAGUAUAUAUUAUACGGUGUUAAUUUAUGUUAAUUUAAUUAUUUUAUAAUUUUAUAAAAUGAAUUUUUUUAAAUGUUUUUAAAUAAUUACUGACGGAAUUAACGACGGAAAUUCCAUCGGUAAAUCUGUUGGUAAUAAAAAAAUAUUAUUACCGAGGAAUAUACCGACGAAAUAAAUAUUUUUUUAUUACCAACAGAUUUACCGACGGAAAAAAAAUUACCGACGAAAGAUUCACCGACGGAGCAUUUCCGUCGGUAAAUUAAUUACCGACAAAAUAUGUGUUUUACGCCGACGGAAAAAUUCCGUCGGUAAAACUGUUAAAUCUUGUAAUGAAAAUUAGAUUUUUUUAAAGAUUUGAUAAAUUUUUCAAAGUUAUAUUAUUAUAAAUCACAAAUUACUCGAUUAUUCGGUUUUUGUUUGGACUUUGACUGUGAUGUUGAUAAAACACUUGCAUGCUAGUCUUUGUAUGUACCAUCAUCAUCCACCAAGUCUAAAUCACAAAAUUAUUGCAACAACUAUAAUCAAUCAGCAACAACCAGGAAAUUACCUUUGAUCACACGCUGCUAAAGAAAUUUCCUAUAUAUGUUACGCUUCAUCUUUGAUAAUUAUUGCAUAUAUUGCUCUAAUAAUUUGCAAGAAAGCAUUUGCAUUCUUUCUCCGAAACAUUAAUAUUGCCUCUACUAUCCUUCAGUCCUGAUCAUUACUUUACUCUUCAGCUAAUGUUUCUGAGCGCUGCAAUUUGAUCUUUAAAGUCGCCAGGAUGGUGGAAUCCGAUCAACUCAAACACCAUAUUGAGGUAACCAGCUUUGCGAAGGUUGCUACUGAUUGCAUGCAUGCAUGUUAUAUAGAGGUACUGUGAACCCCAAAUUUUUAGCUAAAAUCUAAGUUGAAGUUAGUUCAAAUUAAUCUAACAUAAGUUAAUCUAGAUAUAUAUAAAAAAAAGUUGUAAGAGAAUUGUUUCUCUCUUUUAAUUUUUAUGGCUGCUGUGACCCCCAUCAAAUUAAAAAAUUUAGUUUUUAAUCUUCAGUUUUUGAGUUCAAAAAAGGUGGAAGUAACAAGUAAAUGAUUAUCUUUCAUGUUACUUUCAAUUAUGGUUUGUUUAUGGAAGGAUUAAAAAAGAGAUUAGGGUUUAUAAGGAUUUGAAAUUUAUAUUGUUAAGAUUGAUUUAUAAUUAUUAAGGGUUUAAUAUUAAGUGAUUGAUUUUGAGUAUGUUGUUAGAAAUAAAGAUUUGUGAAUUGAUUUGUUUAAAUGGAUUUUUAUUGGUUAAGAAGUUCAUUUCAACCUUGCUGGAAAAUCUGGACAGACUGGUCUUGAGGUUGAAGAUGAUAAAAUUUUAUUUUGAUCUUUGAUUUAUAAAAAUUAUAGUUUAGUCCUUGAACUUUGGAAAAUUAUAAUUUAACCCCUGAUAUGUCUUUUGGAAUUCUGGGCAGUAUUAUUAUGAGGUCAAGGAUGAUGAAUCUCAGUUCGAUAAUUGAUUUGAAAUAUUUUCAGUUUGGUCCCUCAAUUUUGGGAAUUUACAUUUUAGUCCUUGAACUUUAAAAGAAUUCCAAUUUGGUCACUGGUUCGUUCUAGGCAGAAUUGAGGGUUUAUGGAUGGAAUUUCAGUAUGGUUAUGUAUUUACAGUUUGGUCCUCCAAUUUUGGUAAAAUCACAUUUUGGUCCCUAUUUUGGAAAAUUGUCGUUUUAGUCCCUAAAGUUAGGAGACUAAAUCUGGUUUUAUUUUAUGCAUUGGGAUCUUUUAUUUGUGUUGUUUUUUUAGUAUAUUUUAAAUAUUUGUUGUAGGUUCUGCUAACUAUCCUUAAUAAGAUUUUUGGGUCUUUCAUAUGAUUUUCCUUUUAAUCUAUAUUUUUCCGAGUGAGUAUGAUAAUCUUUAAUAUGCAUAUAAUAUAAAUAAAUAUAUAUGUUGAUUAUAUGAUGAAUACGACUAGUUAAUUUUUUGAAUAUUUAUAUAUGUUGCUUUAUGUUCUGAGUAUUCAUUUAUUCUUGAAUUUGCAUUCGUAUUCCAUCGAACUAAAUUCUAUUCGAUAUGAUAUAUAUUUAUUUGAUGAUUCUGUGAAUAUCUAUUAUGCCUUGAUAUAGGACUUGCCAGUUACUACAUGCUAACGAAGAGUAGUUAGCAUGUGUGCAUAUAAUAUUAUGUAUACCUAGGUUGUGAGAUAGGCAUCAACAUGUGGCGAUUGAUCCUCCCAAAGUGGUUAUCUUUGGGUGUCAUCUAAUCUCUGGCAUGUAUUCCAUCACUUUAUGAUAACAUGCUUAGUAUGUAUAUGUAUAUCAAGAUAAAUCAACUUGCAAAUUAUUAAUAUCUAAAAUAUAUAUUAAGUGUUAUUCCUUCACUGAGUUAGUUGAACUCACCCCUCAUUCAUUAUUUUAGAUUCUUAAUUUCUGUUAGCAGGUGGUCUUUGUUGAGUAUUCCUACUUCUUCAGUUUUGGUCGGUAUGACUUGCUUGUUUUACGAGACUUUCCUUUAGUUUUGAUUCGAUGUUUUAGACGCUUCACUAUUAUCCUAUUUUAAUUAAGUUUGGAUUUGAACAAUGUAGUAAGUAUUAUGAAUUAUUAUUUUUGUUUUAAUUACCGAUAAUAAGUUUUGAACUAUUAUUUGGUUUUAUUAGUUUUGAAUAAUAUAAUAUUUCUGAAGAUUAUAAAAUACUUCAUAUUUUUAAAUAAUUUGUUCUUUUGAUAUAUCCACAUAGGCAGUGAGUCUUUUUAACACCACUCUUGCGUUACUAAUUAUGUACCCGAGAUUCAGGCAAUGACAAAUAUAGCUACCUCUUCUUUGCUUCUUUCUUGUUUUAAAUUGAUGUCUUUACUCGAAAGCUUUAUAUAUAUGUUCACAUAGACAUCAUUGAUGAGUUUAUUGAGUUAAUUCCUUGCAUGUCUUCUAAAACAAGAUCAUUCUAUUUUAGAAUGCAGAAAGAAAAACGCAAACAAUCCAAAGAUGAAGAAAAUGAUUCAUCCUCGCGAAAGAGAAGAAAAGCUGACCUCAGUAAGCUUUUUAAAUGCUAUUAAUGUUUUACGCUCUCUGGUUGUUAAACUUAAACAAUUAGGUGAAACUCAAUGAAUGAAUGAUUCAUUAAUUAAAGUUAAACAAUUAGGUUAAACUUAAACUACAAUGCUAAUUAAUUAAUUAAUCAAUUAAUUGUGCCUUAAUUUCUACAGCUGCCAUGAUAGAGCCAGAUUCUUCUCGAUCUAGACCACAAGUGGCCUAUGAUGUCUUUUUGAGUUUCAGAGGAGAAGAUACUCGCAAGACAUUUACUGAUCAUCUACAUACUGCCUUAGUCCAAGCAGGAAUCCACACUUUUCAAGAUGACGAUGAACUUCCUAGAGGAGAAGAAAUCUCCGAUCAUCUCCUCAAGGCAAUUCGAGAAUCAAAGAUAUCUACAGUGGUCUUCUCAAAAGGAUAUGCUUCUUCUAGAUGGUGUCUCAAUGAACUUGUGGAGAUUCUCAAGUGCAGAAAGAGAAAAACUGGUCAGAUUGCUCUUCCUAUAUUCUAUGACAUUGAUCCUUCAGAUGUGAGAAAACAGACUGGCAGUUUUGCUGAAGCAUUUGUUAAACAUGAAGAACGUUCUAAAGAGAAGGUGAAGGAGUGGAGAGAAACUCUUGAGGAGGCAGGAAAUCUAUCUGGAUGGAAUCUCAAAGAUAUGGCAAAUGGGUAUGCCUUUUCUCUAUAAGAUUCACUUCCACACAUUUAUAUAUGGAGUCAUUAUACACUACAUAUUUUACAAUGUGAAACAAUAAAAUACUUUAUGAACAUACUUAAUUGUCUCGCUAUUAAUGACUUGCUUUUGUCUAUGAACAGGCAUGAAGCAAAAUUUAUCCAAGAGAUUAUCAAGGAUGUGUUGACUAAAUUGGACCCCAAGUACUUACAUGUUCCUAAGCACCUAGUAGGUAUUGAUCCGCUUGCUCACAAUAUUUUUCACUUCCUAAGUACUGCAACAGAUGAUGUACGCAUUGUGGGCAUACAUGGGAUGCCAGGAAUAGGAAAGACGACUAUAGCAAAAGUUGUAUUUAAUCAACUCUGCUAUGACUGUGGAUAUGGAUUCGAGGGAAGCUCAUUUCUUUUGAAUGUCAAAGAAUCAGAAUCUAAGGAUAUGGUUCUUCUACAGUAACAACUUCUUCAUGAUAUUUUAAGACAAAAUACUGAGAAGAUCAAUAAUGUUGAUAGAGGAAAGGUUCUGAUUAAAGAACGACUCUGGCGCAAAAGAGUUCUUGUCGUUGUUGAUGACGUGGAUCAUCUGGACCAAUUAAAUGCUUUGAUUGGAGAGCGAAGCUGGUUUGGUCGCGGAAGCAGGGUAAUAAUUACAACUAGAGAUGAACGCUUACUUCUUGAAGUUGAUCAAAGAUACCAGGUUCAAGAACUGAACCCAGAUGAGUCCCUUCAGCUUUUCAGUCAGCAUGCUUUUAGGGAUACCAAGCCAGCAAUAGAUUAUGUUAAGCUUUCGAAUGAUGUAGUUGAAUACUGUGGAGGGCUUCCUUUAGCUCUUGAGGUUUUAGGUUCUUCUUUGUUUGGGAAAAACCAAGCUAGAUGGGAAUCUGUAAUUGACAGAUUGAGAAAAUUUCCGAACUGUGAAAUUCAGAAAAAACUUAGAAUAAGUUUAGACACACUGGAUGAACCUACACUAAAGAAUACAUUUCUUGACAUUGCAUGCUUCUUGAUUGGUACGUAGAAAGAAAGAAUACGUAGCAAAAGUGCUAGAAGGACGUUAUGGUUACAAUCCAGAAGAUGAUUUGGGAACUCUCAUUGAAAGGUCUCUGAUUAAAGUUAAUCAUUCUGGAA